CCUGCUGGUCUUCUGUCCUUGUAAUUUGAUUGCCUGUUUGUAUUCUCAUCAGAUGACUGAAUUAUACAGAUGAAAUAAACAUGAAUAAGAUCCAGCAUCGAUCGAAGACUAACAACAUCAGGUUCGAUGCAGACGAUAUUUUGGUAGAACCAGAGCUUAUCCAUGGAAUCAUGCAAGCAAGGAGAUUUAAUGUCGGCGGUCAUAUUGGAUUAUAAUGCUGUAGAGCAAAGGAAAACACAGAUAAUGGAUGCUUUAAAAGGCGAAACAAGAGAUUGUGGGGUCUAAAUCUAAGGAGAAUGUGGUUGAUAUUCAACAAUUUAGCAUCUUUGGUGAUGGAAUUGUGAGGGCCUGAAUUAGUUUCUGGUCCACAAGUAUGAUUCACGGUCUUUGUUGAUCUUGUGGUGUUGCUAAUCUUUGACAAAAUUGUAACCUGAGAAAUAUUGCUGAGCGCAGGAAUAGUAACAGGCUACCAGAAAGUUUAUGAGCUUAUGGAUUGAGAGAAUUUGGCGGCUAGUUCAGCAGAGAACUGAAGGCAGAAUUGAAAUAUUGAUUCCACUGAAAUAUGUAAUUGUUUGACGGUGACGUUGCUGUAUAUAUGCGCUAUGUGUAGAGCUAAACUUCCGGGAUUUCUUGAUCAAGCAGGUUGUAAUUUAUUAAAGGAUUAAUUGCAGAUAGAACUCGUAAA